AGAGUUUGAUCCUGGCUCAGGACGAACGCUGGCGGCGUGCUUAACACAUGCAAGUCGAGCGAUGAAGCACCUUCGGGUGUGAAUUAGCGGCGAACGGGUGAGGAACACGUGAGAAAUCUGCCUUCAACACUGGGAUAACUCCGGGAAACCGGGGCUAAUACCGGAUAUGAAAUCUGCGGGCAUCCGCGGAUUUGGAAAGUUUUUCGGUUGAAGAUGAUCUCGCGGCCUAUCAGCUUGUUGGUGAGGUAAUGGCUCACCAAGGCGACGACGGGUAGCCGGCCUGAGAGGGCGACCGGCCACACUGGGACUGAGACACGGCCCAGACUCCUACGGGAGGCAGCAGUGGGGAAUAUUGGGCAAUGGAGGAAACUCUGACCCAGCGACGCCGCGUGCGGGAUGAAGGCCUUCGGGUUGUAAACCGCUUUCAGCAGGGAAGAAGCGAAAGUGACGGUACCUGCAGAAGAAGCACCGGCUAACUAUGUGCCAGCAGCCGCGGUAAUACAUAGGGUGCAAGCGUUGUCCGGAAUUAUUGGGCGUAAAGAGCUCGUAGGUGGUUCGUCACGUCGGAUGUGAAACUCUGGGGCUUAACCCCAGACCUGCAUUCGAUACGGGCGAGCUUGAGUAUGGUAGGGGAGUCUGGAAUUCCUGGUGUAGCGGUGGAAUGCGCAGAUAUCAGGAGGAACACCAAUGGCGAAGGCAGGACUCUGGGCCAUUACUGACACUGAGGAGCGAAAGCGUGGGGAGCGAACAGGAUUAGAUACCCUGGUAGUCCACGCCGUAAACGGUGGGCACUAGUUG
rnacentral:rRNA from 1 species